GCAUCAGUUUCGACAUUUGAAUUUAAGCCAAGCUGCGAAUAUGGCCGUCAGCUUCGUUGUGCUCUACAACUGUCUGGUGCGAGGCCUCAUUGUGCAGCCCGCGGGAUCACUAUACGAACAGAGACCAAGUCUCGAGCCGGAACUAGCUGCACUAGAGCCACCCGCAUCUAGUUCAUCGAUACAAUUAUUCUCCUGUCUAUAUGGAGUUCGUGAAAUACCAGGAGAUUCAAGCCCAGUUGCUGAUAUCAAUGCUGAUCGUCGAAUUUCUUUUGCUUUUGCGGAUGACUUCAAUCAAAUCAAUAAUCAACUACCCACAGACUAUCAAAGCACCUAUGAAGUGCCAAAUUCUCCAGCGGACACGGAAAUUCUAUCUGUCUAUCCAGCCAGCACUGCGGGGACACUUACUCAACGCCUGCCCCCCAUACAUACGACCAAGCGCAACUGCCACAUUAUCAAAUGCCCCAAGUUUUCGCAUGCAACAUAUGGCAGCGAUGGGGGCAGAUGCUACGAGUUCGCCAAUCAGUGCUUCAUGGCUGUCGCCAGCUGCAAGCGCCACAAUAACCGACUGCCACGCCUCAAGGAAGUGAGCAAGAAGCAUUGUGAUAAGCUCAUAAGAGAAAUUACUGUCUAAGAUUACCAUGAAGACUUUAUAAGUAGUAAUAAUUAGUUGAAUACAAAUUAUUUAAAUGAUCAUAGACAGGUAAAAAAAUCGAACAAUAUACACAAGAUGGAAACACUGAAUAGAAUCGAAGCUGGAUAGCUUGCUGGAAGCGCGCCGUGAUAGUGAUGAUUCCGAAGCCUGCUACUGGUGCGCCGUGAGGUCAUUCCAAAUCAUCAAUUCGGCUCUCACAGAGUUGUGCAUGAUAUGCUGAGCGCGUGAAGGCUGAAGAAAUUAGAUCCUCUAGACCGUCGUGGAAUUAGUUAAACUUGAAUAGAAAAGAAUUUAUAGUAAUUGAGUCUAAAAUGUAAGAUGUAUAUACUGAUAUGCGUGCCAGUUGAGGCUUAUAGCUAAAUGCGCUUUAGAGUCUGAGACAGUUAGCUGCAACAA